GAAGAGGGAAAAGCUCAAAUUUAAAAUCUGGCAGUGUUUCACUGUCCGAGUUGUAACCUAGAGAAGUGUAACCUGUGCUGGACCGUGUAUAAGUCUCCUGGAAUGGAGCAUCAUAGAGGGUGAGAAUCCCGUCUUUGACAUGGACUACCAGUGCAUUGUGGUUGCGCUCUCAACGAGUCGAGUUGUUUGGGAAUGCAGCUCUAAAUGGGUGGUAAAUUCCAUCUAAAGCUAAAUAUUGGCGAGAGACCGAUAGCGAACAAGUACCGUGAGGGAAAGAUGAAAAGAACUUUGGAAAGAGAGUUAAACAGUAUGUGAAAUUGUUGAAAGGGAAACGUUUGAAGUCAGUCGCGUUGGUUGGGGAUCAGCCUGACAUUGUUGGGUGUACUUCCUGGUUGACGGGCCAACAUCAGUUUUGACUGCCAGAAAAAGGCCAAAGGAAUGUGGCACCUUUGGGUGUGUUAUAGCCCUUGGUCGUAUAUGGUGGUUGGGACUGAGGAAAGCAGCGUGCCGAAAGGCCGGGUUUCGACCACGUUCACGCUGAGGAUGUUGGCAUAAUGGCUUUAAGCGACCCGUCUUGAAACACGGACCAAGGAGUCUAACAUGCGUGCGAGUGUUUGGGUGGAAAACCCUUACGCGUAAUGAAAGUGAAAGUUGAGAUCCCUGUCGCGGGGAGCAUCGACGCCCGGACCAGAACUUUUGGGACGGAUCUGCGGUAGAGCAUGUAUGUUGGGACCCGAAAGAUGGUGAACUAUGCCUGAAUAGGGUGAAGCCAGAGGAAACUCUGGUGGAGGCUCGUAGCGAUUCUGACGUGCAAAUCGAUCGUCAAAUUUGGGUAUAGGGCGAAAA
rnacentral:rRNA from 1 species